AUACGGAGGAUCCGAGCGUUAUCCGGAUUUAUUGGGUUUAAAGGGAGCGUAGGCGGACGCUUAAGUCAGUUGUGAAAGUUUGCGGCUCAACCGUAAAAUUGCAGUUGAUACUGGGUGUCUUGAGUACAGUAGAGGCAGGCGGAAUUCGUGGGGUAGCGGUGAAAUGCUUAGAUAUCACGAAGAACUCCGAUUGCGAAGGCAGCUUGCUGGACUGUAACUGACGCUGAUGCUCGAAAGUGUGGGUAUCAAACAGGAUUAGAUACCCUGGUAGUCCACACAGUAAACGAUGAAUACUCGCUGUUUGCGAUAUACAGUAAGCGGCCAAGCGAAAGCGUUAAGUAUUCCACCUGGGGAGUACGCCGGCAACGGUGAAACUCAAAUGAAUUGACGGGG
rnacentral:rRNA from 1 species